rnacentral:rRNA from 1 species
AGAGUUUGAUCAUGGCUCAGAACGAACGCUGGCGGCAGGCUUAACACAUGCAAGUCGAACGGGUGUAGCAAUACAUCAGUGGCAGACGGGUGAGUAACACGUGGGAACCUUCCUAGGGGUACGGAACAACUCAGGGAAACUUGAGCUAAUACCGUAUACGUCCGUAAGGAGAAAGUUUUAACGCCCCUAGACGGGCCCGCGUAGGAUUAGGUAGUUGGUGAGGUAACGGCUCACCAAGCCUACGAUCCUUAGCUGAUCUGAGAGGAUGAUCAGCCACACUGGGACUGAGACACGGCCCAGACUCCUACGGGAGGCAGCAGUGGGGAAUCUUGGACAAUGGGCGCAAGCCUGAUCCAGCCAUGCCGCGUGAGUGAAGAAGGCCUUCGGGUUGUAAAGCUCUUUUACCAGGGACGAUAAUGACGGUACCUGAGAAUAGAAGCCUGCG